UACUGGGAGAAUACACUAGUGGGGAUAGUUCUGUGUAUACAGUGAUUAAGCACAUAGGUUCUGGAGCCAGUCUGUUUCUUUCAAAAUCACCUCAUUGCUUUUGAAGAAUCAGGGAAACCCCCAUGAGACUACAGGUGUGAAGCAAGAUAGAAGCAUCAGUGCAAAAGAGUACUGCAUUUCCAAAUAAAGCCACUCACAAUCUUUAAUCAGGCUGUAAAUUUUAAGAAAUCUGGACCAAGACAGUUUGCUCCAAGAGUAUCCCACAAAUGCAGAUCUUCAGAGUGAGAUUUUAUUAUUGGAUUGCUCACCUGUCUGUUGAUUCUCUUACUGAGAUACCUUGGAACAUGGUUUGAAUAAUAUUGCUCUAACUUCUUUCAUGUCAGGAAGCUCUGAGAUACUUCCUUUUCUUACUUAAUAAGAAUAGACCUUGGAGGUCUGGACCUGGACAUGAACGUACACUUUUCUAAAGAAGAUAUACACAUGGCCAACAAGCAUGUGAAAAAAAGCUCAAUAUCACUGAUCAUUAGAGAAAUGCAAAUGAAAAUCACAAUGAGAGACCAUCUCACACCAGUCAGAAUGGCUAUUAUUAAAAACUCAAAAAAUAACAGAUGCUGGCGAGGUUGCAGAGAAAAGGGAACACUUAUACACUGUUGGUGGGAGUGUAAAUUAGUUCAACUAUUGUGUAAAGCAAUAUGUCAAUUCCUCAAAGAGCUAAAAAAGAACUACCAUUGGACUCAGCAAUCCCAUUACUGGGUAUAUACUCAGAGGAAUAUAAGUCACUCUACUAUAAACACACACGCAUGCAAAUUUUCAUUGUAGCACUAUUUACAAUAGCAAAGACAUGGAAUCAACCUAAAUGCUCAUCAAUGACAGAUCGGAUAAAGAAAAUAUGCAUCUUCAACCUUUCUGGACUACAGCACCUGCCAACUGACCCCCACAUCAUGGCUCCAACGCUGGCUUCAUCACAUAUCUUCUCUCUCAGUCCCUUUGGCUCUCAGGGUGCAAUAGCUUAACAAAAUUGCUGAUCUAGGUGCCUCAGCAUUGUUUCUUUGUCAUAGUCUCUGUAUUAUCUUAUUUUGAGCCAUUCUUUUCCUGCAAAGAUCCUAACUGAAUGAGAUAACUACUUCAUAAGCUAUUUGUAAGGUUUAAAUAAAUUAAUGCAUAUUUAAUACAUGAA
rnacentral:lncRNA from 1 species